GUGCUGCACCAGAUGGUUUCUGAGACCAUCUGAUAAAAAUUUAGUUUAACUCUGCUUUUUCCUUCUAAGCAACUCUAAUGGCUGUCUGUGUGCAGGCCACGAGAAGCAUUAAAACCUGAAUUGAGAGGAAGUGUUCUGGGUGCCUAUAGUGUCCCUUUAAAAAGAAUUUUCAGCAACCUGUUGAUUACCUUUCUGGACCAUUAUGGACAUUUUGCG